rnacentral:rRNA from 1 species
AGAGUUUGAUCCUGGCUCAGGAUGAACGCUAGCUACAGGCUUAACACAUGCAAGUCGAGGGGAAACGACAUCGAAAGCUUGCUUUUGAUGGGCGUCGACCGGCGCACGGGUGAGUAACGCGUAUCCAACCUGCCCACCACUUGGGGAUAACCUUGCGAAAGUAAGACUAAUACCCAAUGACGUCUCUAGAAGACAUCUGAAGGAGAUUAAAGAUUUAUCGGUGAUGGAUGGGGAUGCGUCUGAUUAGCUUGUUGGCGGGGUAACGGCCACCAAGGCUACGGAUCAGUAGGGGUCUGGAGAGGAAGGUCCCCCANAUUGGAACUGAGACACGGUCCAAACUCCUACGGGAGGCA